UAACACGCCUACUUUUGUUGCCGGAAUCAUCCGUGGCCAUCCUACCCAAGUAUGUCAAUUGUUAUUAUUUCAUCUACCGACACAAAAUUGGCAAUAAAGGUCUCGCAGUAAAUGAUUAAUUCUAAAAAUUGUUUCAGAAAAAACUGUUAGUUUUCGUAUGAAUAGAACGUAUCAUCCAGUUAGUAAAAUUGUAUAAGAUACCGUGAAAAAAAAUCUAACAAGUGUUAUAUGUGAUGUGUCUUAUAAGUUACAAAUUUUCCCAUGACGUCAAUGUCAUUCAGACUCUCUCUUGACUUUGCGUAUGAAAUGAAACAAGAUCAGAUAACUCCGAGAAUCAUUUAGACUUUCCCAUACAAUUGACCAGUCGGAAACCGAGAUAUAUAAAGAACGUGACGUUUAUUGCCAAUUCGUCGUCGGUAGACGAAAUAAUUACGAUUGACAUACUUGGGUAGGAUUGCUGCGGAUGAUUCCGACAACAAAA
rnacentral:lncRNA from 1 species